CCUGGAAGGCGUGGAUAUCCUGGAUAUAUGUAUACUGAUUUGGCAACCAUAUAUGAGCGGGCUGGACGGAUUGAGGGACGAAAAGGCUCCAUCACACAGAUUCCAAUUUUAACUAUGCCAAAUGAUGAUAUUACACAUCCCACCCCAGACCUUACAGGAUAUAUUACAGAGGGACAGAUAUACAUUGACAGGCAGCUUUACAAUAGACAGAUAUAUCC
rnacentral:misc_RNA from 1 species